CCUACGGGAGGCAGCAGUGAGGAAUAUUGGUCAAUGGACGAGAGUCUGAACCAGCCAAGUAGCGUGAAGGAUGACGGCCCUAUGGGUGGUAAACUUCUUUUAUAGGGGAAUAAAAUGUGACACGUGUGGGAUUUUGUAUGUACCAUAUGAAUAAGGAUCGGCUAACUCCGUGCCAGCAGCCGAGGUAAUACGGAGGAUCCGAGCGUUAUCCGGCUGUAUUGGGGUUAUAGGGAGCGUAGGUGGAUUGUUAAGUCAGUUGUGACAGGUUGCGGCUCAACCGUAAAAUUGCAGUUGAAACUGGCAGUCUUUAGUACAGUAUAGGUGGGCGGUAUUCCUGGUGUAGCGGUGA
rnacentral:rRNA from 1 species